GAUCUCUUAGCGCACAAAGUCAGGCUAUCACUACAAGGGGAGUCCGACCCUGGCUGUAGAAAAACUACUUGGUGCGGAACUCGAGUCUCUUCCGCCCACCGUGGGGGACCGCACCGGUCAGGUCCAGCGAGGAGCCCCGCCGCGAGUUUGGGGGCGCAGCCGGGCCCGGCGGGGGCGGCGAGCGCGCGUCCCCCCGCCCGCUCAGGCAGCGUCGAGGCGCGAGCAGCUCAGCCACCCUUGCAGAGGGAGCUCUCGACAGCUCUGGGGUCCCUCUGCUCGCAGCCGCAGCAGCGCCGCCUGCGCCACUCGGCGGAGACGGAGACCAGCGGCGGCGGUGCGCGGACUGGGAGCGACCGCCAAGCAGCCGAGCGGCAGGGGUAUGCUCGCAAAGCGGCCGGCUUUGAAAACAGGAGGAAGAAGAGUGGGAGACAGGAGAAAAGCCCUCCAGGAGCUCCUUGCUCUCAUCUCAGCCACCUUGGUAGGAAGCUGCUGCUGCUAAGGGAAGACCCAGAAGCCUGGCCGUUCGCUGACGGGGUUCUGCUGCCCCCUUCUGGCCAGAAACUCCAGUCUUCCCCACGGUCGUUGCAGCCGGCUUCAUCUGCCUCCAGGCCGCCUGGAGCUAGCUGCUAGGGAGCCAUUACCAGGACUGGCACCUCUGGGCUUUCUCUGGGCCAGCUCCACAGUUUGGCUGCAGCCUGGGCCCACAGCUUCCAGGCCCAGGGCACCCCCGGUCUCCAGACUGGGCCUCGUCAGCAACACCCAACCACCGUCUUCCUCUGCUCUCUUUCCCAACCCCAGUUCCAGCCUCUGGGCUCUCUUCUGCCUGAAUUUCCAGGGCCAAAGCACAUGCCAUUGUCACAGCUGGGGGUGCAGAUACACUAGUGUCAGGAAGCGCCAUAGCCAGAGGGUGCUGGAGCAGAGGUCAGGAAGGCACCAGGCCAGGCCAUGUAGGAAAGGCAUUUUGCUUUUUUAUUUUCUGUAAAACUCUGUAAAUAAAAUAUAAAACCAAGGGAUGUGGUAGGACACUGAUUUGUGGCAAGUGUGCUGAGCCGAGGCUGGGAGGCACUUGACUGCAGGCACUGACUGCCAACCCAAGGGCAACGGAAGAAUAUAUUAGAUUUUCACUGAUGGGAAUCUGUGGGCGAGAGGUGUCUGGAGCCAGCCCUCACCCUCCCUGCCAGUGCCUGAUAAGCCCUGAAAGUGAGGGGGAAGGGGCACUG
rnacentral:lncRNA from 1 species